rfam:Chelonia mydas contig191655, whole genome shotgun sequence.
GACCGCGUGGCCUAAUGGAUCAGGCGUCUGACUUCGGAUCAGGCAAUUGAGGGUUCAAGUCCCUUUGAGGUUG